GUGUCAGCAGCCGCGGUAAGACAGAGGUGCCGAGCGUUAGGCGGAAUCACUGGGCUUAAAGCGUGUGUAGGCGGGCGAUCAAGUACCUUGUGAAAUCCCACGGCUCAACCGUGGAACCGCUGGGUAUACUGGUUGUCUUGAGCCGGCUAGGGGCGAGCGGAACAGACGGUGGAGCGGUGAAAUGCGUAGAUAUCGUCUGGAACGCCGAAGGUGAAAACAGCUCGCUGGGGCCGCGCUGACGCUGAGACACGAAAGCCAGGGGAGCGAACGGGAUUAGAUACCCGCGUAGUCC
rnacentral:rRNA from 1 species